GAUGAGGCCCUUUAUCUACUGACCCAGAGUCAGAUGAGGUCCUUUAUCUACUGACCCAGAGUCAGAUGAGGUCCUUUAUCUACUGACCCAGAGUCAGAUGAGGUCCUUGAUCUACUGACCCAGAGUCAGAGGAGGUCCUUAAUCUGCUGUCUCAGAGUCAGAUGAGGUAUUUUAUCUAUUCCCCCAGAGUCAGAUUAAGCCCUUUAGCUACUGACACCGAGUUAGAUGAGGUCCUUUAUCUACUGACCCAGAGUCAGAUGAGGUCCUUAAUCUACUGACCCAUAGUCAGAUGAGGUUAUUUAUCUUCUGACCCAGAGCCAGACGAGGCCCCUUAGCUACUGACCCAGAGUCAGAUGAACUACUUUAUCUACUGACCCAGAGUCAGAUGA
ensembl:lncRNA